CGCGGGAUAGUCUAAUGGUAAGAUACCGGGCUCAUAACCCGGGGACAGGUAAUGCUAGUGACGGUCCGACUCCGUCUCCCGCUA
rnacentral:tRNA from 1 species